CACUUUCUUCCUUUCUUCCUUAUUUCACUUUUCAUCCUUAUUCCAUCUAUUAUCUGUAUUCAAAAGCCAAGAAUAGACGUAAGGAACCUAUAAUCUACCUCUAAAUCACGCUUCGCUACCGUCCACCGUUGCCAAUAGAAAACGGGAGCGAGGGGUGUUGACAUUCAAGGCGGGAGGCAGAGUCCGGAAACUGCUCGGAGGAAUCACCUUUUUCCUCUGUCCCAAGGUGAUCCUGUCCCCUCUUAAGCUGCAGGUUCUCCUUAUCAACCCCCCCGACCUCAACAACACCCCCAGGUCCCCCCAGCCUUCCCCCAGGGUCACGUGGAGUCUGAAGCCUGUAUGUGUUGCCCCGUGACCUACCCCAGGGGACGAUAACCUCUGGGGGGGUCAAAGGUCACCACCAUCACCCUUAAGACGGCCAGUGGGUUGAAGGCUUGCUCGAGAGGACCUUUGGGAGUGGAGGCUGGUGAGUGAAGCAAUGCGCCCCCUUAUGUAUGCUCCCCAUUAGUUAGGAGGAUGACCCAGCUGAAGUGUUUGUGUAAGGGAGUGUUUUCCUCUUGUAAAUUUCUCUCCUCUUCCUCCUCCGCCUCCUCUUCUUCCUCCAUCUUGCUGAAUACUUCAUUGCAUCUACUUUAGAGAGAGAGAGAGAGAGAGAGAGA